CGUGGCAUUCUGAGUGUCACUGUCGUCAUGGAUGGGCAGAAAGUAGUGAGUGUCGAAAAUAAAACUCUUUGGUCUGUAAAUUCUGAUGUCAAAACCCACGUUAAUUUUAUUAACCAGUCAAAACAAAGCGCCCGAGCAUGGUGGUUUUCUGACUAUGGGUUGAACCAAGAAGACACGCAUCCAUGGCUUUUCAGAGCCUCUCGAAAUGGGGCGAAACUUUUAGCUAAUCAGCAAGAAGUUUAUCUGCCAGCAGCUGCCACCGAAUAUGAAGAGGAUGGUCAGCCCAAGUUUCUGAAUGUUGUCAUAACUACACCAGUGUACUCUCUCCAGGAGUGUUGUCUGAUGCUAAUCCGUAAUCUGGUAGAAGUGGAGGACUACGACAGACUGGACAUCCCCGAGUCACUGAAGACAGACCUCAGACAACAGCCUGACUUACUGAAGGAGCUGGGAAUAGGAGUGUUGACCUAGGAUCAGUUGUAUCAUUUAGAUCACAAUGAAUCAGAUUACAUGGACAGGGGGGGUGACCUGAUCCUAGAUCAGCUCUCAUACUCUGAGAAGCUUUAUGCAUAACAGGCCACUGAAUAAUGGACUUUCUGUUGACCAAAUGUAGCCUUUUCCCCUGCUCUGAACUCGUUGGUGGCUCUGGAACAGUGGCAGUCAAAGUCCGGUUUGGAGAACUGCAGUGGGGUCGCGAAUUAAGAGUACUUAUUAUUAUUAAGAUUACAUAUUAUUAAGAUUACAUAUUGUAUGGGACAAAAACAAUUAAACAUUUUAAGAAAUAUA